rnacentral:rRNA from 1 species
CAGUCGCCACGGUAAUACGUAUGUCACAAGCGUUAUCCGGAUUUAUUGGGCGUAAAGCGCGUCUAGGUGGUUAUGUAAGUCUGAUGUGAAAAUGCAGGGCUCAACUCUGUAUUGCGUUGGAAACUGUGUAACUAGAGUACUGGAGAGGUAAGCGGAACUACAAGUGUAGAGGUGAAAUUCGUAGAUAUUUGUAGGAAUGUCGAUGGGGAAGCCAGCUUACUGGACAGAUACUGACGCCAAAGCGCGAAAGCGUGGGUAGCAAACAGGAUUAGAUACCCCCGUAGUCCCUGUCUCUUAUACA